rnacentral:rRNA from 1 species
CUACGAGUUUGAUCAGUGGCUACGAGGACGAACGCUGGCGGCGUGCUUAACACAUGCAAGUCGAGCGAUGAAGUUCCCUUCGGGGAACGGAUUAGCGGCGGACGGGUGAGUAACACGUGGGUAACCUGCCUCAUAGAGAGGGAUAGCCUUCCGAAAGGAAGAUUAAUACCUCAUAACAUCAUUCUUUCGCAUGUUAGAAUGAUCAAAGGAGCAAUCCGCUAUGAGAUGGACCCGCGUCUGAUUAGCUAGUUGGUGAGGUAACGGCCCACCAAGGCGACGAUCAGUAGCCGACCUGAGAGGGUGACCGGCCACAUUGGGACUGAGACACGGCCCAGACUCCUACGGGAGGCAGCAGUGGGGAAUAUUGCACAAUGGAGGAAACUCUGAUGCAGCGACGCCGCGUGAGUGAAGAAGUAAUUCGUUAUGUAAAGCUCUAUCAGCAGGGAAGAUAGUGACGGUACCUGACUAAGAAGCUCCGGCUAAAUACGUG